rnacentral:lncRNA from 1 species
CUCAGGAGAUCCAAGAAAGCUGUCUUUUGUCAGCUGGCUUUAGGUUGGUUUCUCAUGGCCUUUACCAAGGAAAACUACCUUGAGAUGGGCCUUAAAGGCUGGUGGAUUUCAUUUCAGGAUUGAAGAAUAAUGUGGACAAAGGAAUUGUGGUGGAAAUGACCACCAUGACUGAAUCCCUGUGUUUCUCUAAAGAACAAAAGAAGGAAGAACAAAAGGAAGGAGUGGAAGGCCAUAUGAUGGAGAUUCCUAAUGUAACAGGACAACUCCGGACAGCUCUCCUGUAGUCCUACACUGAUGAAUAAAGAAGAAACGUGCCCCUCACAGAAUCCUGAAGAGGAGUCUGUGGAUGUACUCUGUCUUAUGGCAGUUUGUUCCAGCGCACUCUACUUUCCCUCCGUUUAUGAUGGAUGAGCUGUUCAUGCUGCGAGCUGAGGCCAAGCCCUCACGUAUGCACCAGAACCUAUCUCUACUUGGCUGUUUGAGGGAUGUCGCUUCUGAAGUUGUUGGUUUCUUUCUCAUGAUCCAUCCAGCUUGCCUUUUCCAUUAUAUUUUCCCCAUCCCCAUCAUUUACUUGCUUUAAUAUCACUCUUAUUCAAACAAUAACCAUCAGUAAACCUUCUGAAUUCCA